rnacentral:rRNA from 1 species
CGCAAUGGGGGAAAGCCUGACGGAGCAAUGCCGCGUGGAGGAGGAAGGCCUGUGGGUCGUAAACUCUUUUUUUCAGAGAAGAAGUUUUGACGGUAUCUGAGGAAUAAGCAUUGGCUAACUUUGUGCCCGCCGCCGCGGUAAUACAGGGGAUGCCAGCGUUAUCCGGAAUUAUUGGGCGUAAAGCGUCCUGAGGUGGCUUACCCAGUUGACUGUGAAAGCUCAAGGCUUAACCUUGAAACGGCAGUCGAAACUUGUAAGCUUGAGUACGGUAGGGGCAGAGGGAAUUCCCGGAGGAGAGGUGAAAUUGGUAGAUAUCGGGAGGAAGGCCAAAGGGGAAAGCCCUUUGCUGGGCCGAUUACUGACACUGACAGACGAAAGCUA